rnacentral:rRNA from 1 species
AUUGAACGCUGGCGGCAUGCCUUACACAUGCAAGUCGAACGGUAACGGGCCUUCGGGUGCCGACGAGUGGCGAACGGGUGAGUAAUGUAUCGGAACGUACCUUUCAGUGGGGGAUAACGUAGCGAAAGUUACGCUAAUACCGCAUAUUCUGUGCGCAGGAAAGCAGGGGACCUUCGGGCCUUGCGCUGAUUGAUCGGCCGAUAUCAGAUUAGCUAGUUGGUGAGGUAAAGGCUCACCAAGGCGACGAUCUGUAGCGGGUCUGAGAGGAUGAUCCGCCACACUGGAACUGAGACACGGUCCAGACUCCUACGGGAGGCAGCAGUGGGGAAUUUUGGACAAUGGGGGCAACCCUGAUCCAGCCAUGCCGCGUGAGUGAAGAAGGCCUUCGGGUUGUAAAGCUCUUUCGGCCGGGAAGAAAUCGUAUCAGCUAAUACCUGGUGCGGAUGACGGUACCGGCAUAAGAAGCACCGGCUAACUACGUGCCAGCCGCCGCCGUAAAAC